GGGGGCGACAGGUUUCGACGGGGUCUGAUGGUCCCCGGGGAGCAGGCAGGUUGGCAACCUUAACAGCCAUUCACAACACUUCCCGAAGCUGAAGUCGCUCUCGCUGCCUAAUUAAAAAGGCAGCGCGCCUCAGGGAGGUUCGCCUCUGGCUGACCUGAAGGCGUCAGAGAACAGAGGCUGGGAAGCUCCAAUGCACGGUGAGGAGCUUCCGAGAAAGUACCCGUGCUCCCCUCGGGAAGCCUGCCCGUGGGCAACCUGAGGGCAGAACCAAACACGGGCUAAGCCUGUAGAGCCCCGGACCGGGUCAUCGUCCUCGGACGCGGGUUCGAUUCCCGCCGCCUCCACCA
rnacentral:tmRNA from 1 species